CCUACGGGUGGCAGCAGUGAGGAAUAUUGGUCAAUGGGCGCGAGCCUGAACCAGCCAAGUCGCGUGAAGGAUGAAGGCCCUAUGGUUUGUAAACUUCUUUUAUAUGGGAAUAAAGUGAGGAACGUGUUCCUUUUUGUAUGUACCAUAUGAAUAAGCAUCGGCUAACUACGUGCCAGCAGCCGCGGUAAUACGGAGGAUGCGAGCGUUAUCCGGAUUUAUUGGGUUUAAAGGGUGCGUAGGUGGUUAAUUAAGUCAGCGGUGAAAGUUUGUGGCUCAACCAUAGAAUUGCAGUUGAAACUGGUUGGCUUGAGUAUAUUAGAGGUGGGCAGAAUGCGUGGUGUAGCGGUGAAAUGCAUAGAUAUCACGAAGAACUCCGAUUGCGAAGGCAGCUUACUGGACUAUAACUGACACUGAGGCGCGAAAGCGUGGGGAUCAAACAGGAUUAGAUACCCUGGUAGUC
rnacentral:rRNA from 1 species